UACGUAGGGGGCAAGCGUUGUCCGGAAUUAUUGGGCGUAAAGAGCGUGUAGGCGGUCCGGUAAGUCAGCUGUGAAAGUCAAGGGCUCAACCCUUGAAUGCCGGUUGAUACUGUCGGGCUAGAGUCCGGAAGAGGCGAGUGGAAUUCUCGGUGUAGCGGUGAAAUGCGCAGAUAUCGGGAGGAACACCAAUGGCGAAGGCAGCUCGCUGGGACGGUACUGACGCUGAGACGCGAAAGCGUGGGGAGCGAACAGG
rnacentral:rRNA from 1 species